rnacentral:lncRNA from 1 species
GGGACUUGGAACAAAAGGGGAAACUCUGAUGAACUCCUUCUCCAGCUCCCUGGACGCCCGAGUAUCUCUUUCUCGCAACUUUGUCAACGCGACUUUCUCCGCUGUCAGGCUGCGCAAAAGUAUCCUAGCGCCUCGCAGGCUGCAACAAUGGAAACAAUGUCCCUUCAAAGUGCGACGAAGUGGAGGGAGAAGGUGUCAUACCAGCGACUCCAAGAGUCAUGUCACCCACUUAGCAGGAGUACUUCUACUGAAAUGCCUUCGAAUUUCUCUUACUGGAUAUAUACCUACCAGCCGCUAGCAUGAAGAUGCCAGGACCGCUGCAAGUUAGCACUGGACAAAGUAGCAUCAACUUCUUCAUUUAGAGUUUCUUCAGUUAAAUUGCUGGGAUUUUCGACAAGGCUUUCCUUAUGUGGAUUAUUGGAGUGUGAUGCCCGAGAAUUCUCUACUUGUAGAAGCACGCCCACGGGACUGCAGAAGCCUUCACACCCACCCAGCACGCUCAGAUCAUCCAGUAACCAACCCAGGAAGUUCUUGUAAGCAUGCAUUUCUUAGUCAACACUGAAUGCCUUUAGACCGAGGUCAACCUUUUCAGCUGGUACCGUGGUUUACACUGCUGAAAGUACUGUCUUCAACCUUACCAAUGUCAGUGGCGGCGACGGUGGCGUCACCAUCACCAUCAGAGAAAAAGAAAUAUGCCUUUAUGUCAUGGUAAGAGGGUUGAUGGCCUAACACUGGCUUAACACUCAUGUCGGCUGCACUAAUUGAAGUCACAUCCAAGUGGGUCAAUGCACUGAACAUAUCUGAUAUAGAAGGUCCCAGAUCCUGAAUUUUUAUCAAUGGUUUGCUGUAUAAGGCUUGCCUCCCAAAUAGCUGAGGACCCUUAUUUGGGAAGAUACGUUCUGAUGGUUAAGCAACAGCACAGAUGUCGAUGGGAAUGAGUGAUGGCCAUCCAGUGACCAGCUGGAUCUGACUGCCUUACAAGACGCAUGUGUAUGAUUAAGAGAGAGACAUUCGUGACUCCCAGAUGUACCUCCUUCCUGUCCCACAGUGUUCCUGAAGGGAGUGAGUUAUGGGGUAACUUAUAACACAGCAGGCUCUUCCUCAAGAUAGCUCUUGUCAAAACAGGAAGACGAAACUCGGGUUUCCAUGAGGAGACCACAGCUUGGGAUCCUGUCUGGAUGUACAAGCAGAAGCAUCUUCAUACUUUUCCAUUUCUAACCAUCAUGCCUCACCCCACCCUCCCAAGGCGACAUCUGCAGAGAGGUGGAACCAUCUAGGGAGGCCUGCCACUGUUUGCUGAGCUCCGGGUGAGGAUGAAGACACUUUGACAUGGCCAGCUUCAGACUCGGGAUCUGUCGGUGUUAGCAGCCGAAGGAGAAUGAGGAGGAAGAGGAGGAGAAAGAGGAGGAGGAAGUAAGACAGAGGGGGACAAGAGGACCAAGAGGGCACAUGGCUGAGGAGGAGGAGAACAACAACAACAACAACAACAACAACAACAACAAGAAGCUUGGUGUUUUCAGGAUGUGUUCCUGAGUCUCGUGAGUAGCACAUGGCAGUUGUUGUCACCUUGGGCUGAGCCGUGAAGAUUCUCACCCUCCCUUGUUGGGGAUGAACUCCGGGAUUCUAAGGAGAGGUCAGCAGGUGUUUCACAGACUGUUCCUGUUGGAGGAUUUGUCUGAUACUCUUCUCCUGAUUAGUCUGGGCUCUACAUUUCCCCAAGGGUGAAACUUGGAAGCCCUCUCCAGGAUGCAGCAGGUAGCUGAGGAGAAAACGAAGACUGACCAGCCCAGAGCUCAGAGCUUCCUCCCAUGCUCAGGAUUUACCACCAAUGCCAUUACAUCGGCCUCUUCUUGUAUGCCUCUGGAAACCACAUGUGUCCUCUGUUUGUAAUGGUUUGGCUAUGGUUGCUGGCCCCUCUUGGACAUUGUUUUCAGAACUUAAAGAAACAUUGCUUUAAAGAUUUAUUAGAACAUAUUUAAAAUAAAACCAUCUUCUCAUUUA